rnacentral:rRNA from 1 species
AUACCGAGGUGGCAAGCGUUGUUCGGAAUUAUUGGGCGUAAAGAGCACGUAGGUGGAUUUGUUAGUCAGAUGUGAAAGCCUUUCGUUCAACGGAAGAAUUGCAUCUGAAACUACAAACCUUGAGUAUAGGAGGGGAGAGUGGAACUUCUGGUGGAGCGGUGAAAUGCGUAGAUAUCAGAAGGAACGCCGGCGGCGAAAGCGACUCUCUGGCCUAUAACUGACACUGAGUGUGCGAAAGCUAGGGGAGCAAACGGGAUUAGAUACCCCAGUAGUCC